CCUACGGGGGGCAGCAGUGAGGAAUAUUGGGCAAUGGGCGUAAGCCUGAACCAGCCAAGUCGCGUGAGGGAUGAAGGUUCUAUGGAUCGUAAACCUCUUUUAUAAGGGAAUAAAGUGUGGGACGUGUCCUAUUUUGUAUGUACCUUAUGAAUAAGGAUCGGCUAACUCCGUGCCAGCAGCCGCGGUAAUACGGAGGGGCCGAGCGUUAUCCGGAUUUAUUGGGUUUAAAGGGUGCGUAGGCGGCUUUUUAAGUCAGCGGUGAAAGUCUGUGGCUCAACCAGAGAAUUGCCGUUGAAACUGGGGGGCUUGAGUAUGUUUGAGGCAGGCGGAAUGCGUGGUGUAGCGGUGAAAUGCUUAGAUAUCACGCAGAACCCCGAUGGCGAAGGCAGCCUGCCAAGCCAUGACUGACGCUGAUGCACGAAAGCGUGGGGAUCAAACAGGAUUAGAUACCCUAGUAGUC
rnacentral:rRNA from 1 species